UACGUAGGCAGCGAGCGUUGUUCGGAGUUACUGGGCGUAAAGGGUGUGUAGGCGGUUGUUUAAGUUUGGUGUGAAAUCUCCCGCUCAACUGGGAGGGUGCGCCGAAUACUGAAUGACUUGGAGUGCGGGAGAGGAAAGUGGAAUUCCUGGUGUAGCGGUGAAAUGCGCAGAUAUCAGGAGGAACACCGGUGGCGAAGGCGGGUCUCUGGGCCAAAACUGACGCUGAGGAGCGAAAGCGUGGGGAGCGAACAGG
rnacentral:rRNA from 1 species